GAUGAACGCUGGCUACAGGCUUAACACAUGCAAGUCGAGGGGAAACGACGGGGAAGCUUGCUUCCUUGGGCGUCGACCGGCGCACGGGUGAGUAACGCGUAUCCAACCUGCCUCUGACUGAGGGAUAACCCGUCGAAAGUCGGCCUAAUACCUCAUGGCAUCGUCUGCGGGCAUCCAACGACGAUUAAAGAUUUCAUCGGUCAGGGAUGGGGAUGCGUCUGAUUAGCUAGUUGGCGGGGCAACGGCCCACCAAGGCGACGAUCAGUAGGGGUUCUGAGAGGAAGGUCCCCCACAUUGGAACUGAGACACGGUCCAAACUCCUACGGGAGGCAGCAGUGAGGAAUAUUGGUCAAUGGGCGAGAGCCUGAACCAGCCAAGUAGCGUGCAGGAUGACGGCCCUAUGGGUUGUAAACUGCUUUUAUGCGGGGAUAAAGUGAGGGACGUGUCCUUCAUUGCAGGUACCGCAUGAAUAAGGACCGGCUAAUUCCGUGCCAGCAGCCGCGGUAAUACGGAAGGUCCGGGCGUUAUCCGGAUUUAUUGGGUUUAAAGGGAGCGUAGGCCGUGGAUUAAGCGUGUUGUGAAAUGCAGGUGCUCAACGUCUGCACUGCAGCGCGAACUGGUCCACUUGAGUGUGCACAACGCAUGCGGAAUUCGUCGUGUAGCGGUGAAAUGCUUAGAUAUGACGAAGAACUCCGAUUGCGAAGGCAGCUUGCGGGAGCACAACUGACGCUGAAGCUCGAAAGUGCGGGUAUCGAACAGG
rnacentral:rRNA from 1 species